UGGGGAAUAUUGCACAAUGGGCGCAAGCCUGAUGCAGCCAUGCCGCGUGUAUGAAGAAGGCCUUCGGGUUGUAAAGUACUUUCAGCGGGGAGGAAGGUGUUGAGGUUAAUAACCUCAGCAAUUGACGUUACCCGCAGAAGAAGCACCGGCUAACUCCGUGCCAGCAGCCGCGGUAAUACGGAGGGUGCAAGCGUUAAUCGGAAUUACUGGGCGUAAAGCGCACGCAGGCGGUCUGUCAAGUCGGAUGUGAAAUCCCCGGGCGCAACCUGGGAACUGCAUUCGAAACUGGCAGGCUAGAGUCUUGUAGAGGGGGGUAGAAUUCCAGGUGUAGCGGUGAAAUGCGUAGAGAUCUGGAGGAAUACCGGUGGCGAAGGCGGCCCCCUGGACAAAGACUGACGCUCAGGUGCGAAAGCGUGGGGAGCAAACA
rnacentral:rRNA from 1 species